UCCCUGGUAGCUCAGAGGAUAAAGCAUCUGCCUGCAAUGCAGGAGACCUAGGUUCAAUCCCUGGCUCAGGAA
rnacentral:tRNA from 1 species